CAGGUCAACGAGCUAUAAGUACCGAGGUAGAGAGCACACGUUCAGUGCAGCUUGACGGGCAAGAUGAUGUGCAGUCUUGCAGAUCAAGUAUGUCUGAUGAAGGUGUAUCUGCGGACGUGACCGGCAGUCACAAAGGUCUCCAGGAUUCUAC